GGUCGGGAGGGGGGCUGGCUGGGGGGGAUGGACCGGGCGCGGCGGCCGCAGCGGCAGGAGCCGGUGCCUGAACUCGAGCGACCGGGCUGGCGGAGACGCCGGCUGCUCCUCCCCUCCCUGCCGGUAUUACUCUCUUCAGAAGACACAACUGCAGUUAGCACUUUCUUCAGAUGCUGAUACUUGGUAAACAGCUGCUCUUAAUCACAGGAUUUAGAAGAUAGUCUCCAUCCUCCCAGAUUGGAUCUCUUUUCAUGUGGAUCUUCUAUUUCUAUGUCUUUUAAAAAAAUAACCUUUUUGGGAACAUUUUGGAUUACAACGUUUCAUCCUCAUCUAUGCAAAGAAAGGAAAGCUGUUGUGCUGGGAUUUUGAGGAGCUUUUACUAAAAGGAUUCCUGUAUACUUUAGAAGUGCUUGAGGAAGAGUGAUAAAGGCAAGU